CCUACGGGGGGCAGCAGUGGGGAAUAUUGCACAAUGGGCGCAAGCCUGAUCCAGCCACGCCGCGUGAAGGAAGAAGGCCUUCGGGUUGUAAAAUACUUUUAAGAGGGAAGAGGAGAGUACAGUUCAUCUUUAAUAAGCUACGGCUAACUACGGGCAGACAGACGCGGUAAUACGGAGGGGGCAGCCGUUGUACGGAUGAACUGGGCGUAAAGGGUGUGCAGCCGGGAAGUUAAGGCAGAUGUGAAAUCCCGCGGCUCAACCUGGGAACUGCAUUUGAUACUGUCUUGCAGGAGUCCCGGAGAGGGCAGUAGAAUUCCAGGUGUAGCGGGGAAAUGCGUAGAGAUCUGGAAGAAUACCAGUGGCGAAGGCGG
rnacentral:rRNA from 1 species